rnacentral:rRNA from 1 species
GACGAACGCUGGCGGCAUGCCUAACACAUGCAAGUCGGACGGGAAGUGCUGUUUUCGGUGGCGGACGGGUGAGAAACGCGUAAGAACUUGCCUUUGGGUGGGGAACACCAGCUGGAAACGGCUGCUAAUACCCCGUAGGCUGAGGAGCCAAAGGAGGAAUCCGCCUGAGGAGGGGCUCGCGUCUGAUUCGCUAGUUGGUGAGGCAAUAACUUACCAAGGCGAUGACAAGUAGCUGGUGCGAGAGGAGAAUCAGCCACACUGUGGCUGAGACACAGCCCAGAGUCCUACGGGGGGCGGCGGAGGGGAGAUUUCCGCAAUGGGCGAGAGCCUGUCGGCGCGAUGCCGCGUGGGGGUAAAGAACGUACGAGUGGUGAACUUCUUUUCCCGGAGAAAAGACAAUGACGGUAUCUGGAGAAUAAGCUUCGGCUAACUCUGUG